rnacentral:rRNA from 2 species
AGAGUUUGAUCCUGGCUCAGGACGAACGUGCGGCAGCUAUAAUGCAAGUCGACGAACUCUGGUAUUGAUUGGUGCUUGCAUCAUGAUUUACAUUUGAGUGAGUGGCGAACUGGUGAGUAACACGUGGGAAACCUGCCCAGAAGCGGGGGAUAACACCUGGAAACAGAUGCUAAUACCGCAUAACAACUUGGACCGCAUGGUCCGAGUUUGAAAGAUGGCUUCGGCUAUCACUUUUGGAUGGUCCCGCGGCGUAUUAGCUAGAUGGUGGGGUAACGGCUCACCAUGGCAAUGAUACGUAGCCGACCUGAGAGGGUAAUCGGCCACAUUGGGACUGAGACACGGCCCAAACUCCUACGGGAGGCAGCAGUAGGGAAUCUUCCACAAUGGACGAAAGUCUGAUGGAGCAACGCCGCGUGAGUGAAGAAGGGUUUCGGCUCGUAAAACUCUGUUGUUAAAGAAGAACAUAUCUGAGAGUAACUGUUCAGGUAUUGACGGUAUUUAACCAGAAAGCCACGGCUAACUACGUGCCAGCAGCCGCGGUAAUACGUAGGUGGCAAGCGUUGUCCGGAUUUUAUUGGGCGUAAAACGAGCGCAGGCGGUUUUUUAAGUUUGAUGUGAAAGCCUUCGGCUCAACCCGAAGAAGUGCAUCGGAAACUGGGAAACUUGAGUGCAGAAGAGGACAGUGGAACUCCAUGUGUAGCGGUGAAAUGCGUAGAUAUAUGGAAGAACACCAGUGGCGAAGGCGGCUGUCUGGUCUGUAACUGACGCUGAGGCUCGAAAGUAUGGGUAGCAAACAGGAUUAGAUACCCUGGUAGUCCAUACCGUAAACGAUGAAUGCUAAGUGUUGGAGGGUUUCCGCCCUUCAGUGCUGCAGCUAACGCAUUAAGCAUUCCGCCUGGGGAGUACGGCCGCAAGGCUGAAACUCAAAGGAAUUGACGGGGGCCCGCACAAGCGGUGGAGCAUGUGGUUUAAUUUGAAGCUACGCGAAGAACCUUACCAGGUCUUGACAUACUAUGCAAAUCUAAGAGAUUAGACGUUCCCUUCGGGGACAUGGAUACAGGUGGUGCAUGGUUGUCGUCAGCUCGUGUCGUGAGAUGUUGGGUUAAGUCCCGCAACGAGCGCAACCCUUAUUAUCAGUUGCCAGCAUUAAGUUGGGCACUCUGGUGAGACUGCCGGUGACAAACCGGAGGAAGGUGGGGAUGACGUCAAAUCAUCAUGCCCCUUAUGACCUGGGCUACACACGUGCUACAAUGGAUGGUACAACGAGUUGCGAACUCGCGAGAGUAAGCUAAUCUCUUAAAGCCAUUCUCAGUUCGGAUUGUAGGCUGCAACUCGCCUACAUGAAGUCGGAAUCGCUAGUAAUCGCGGAUCAGCAUGCCGCGGUGAAUACGUUCCCGGGCCUUGUACACACCGCCCGUCACACCAUGAGAGUUUGUAACACCCAAAGUCGGUGGGGUAACCUUUUAGGAACCAGCCGCCUAAGUGAGCCGUUGAUUAGGGUGAAGUCGUAACAAGGUAACC